GAUGAACGCUAGCGGGAGGCCUAACACAUGCAAGCCGAGCGGUAGAGAUGCUUCUGGAUCUUGAGAGCGGCGUACGGGUGCGGAACACGUGUGCAACCUGCCUUUAUCAGGGGGAUAGCCUUUCUAAAGGAAGAUUAAUACCCCAUAAUAUAUUUUAUGGCAUCAUUAGAUAUUGAAAGCUUUGUCGGAUAGAUAUGGGCAUGCGCAAGAUUAGAUAGUUGGUGAGGUAACGGCUCACCAAGUCGAUGAUCUUUAGGGGGCCUGAGAGGGUGAUCCCCCACACUGGUACUGAGACACGGACCAGACUCCUACGGGAGGCAGCAGUGAGGAAUAUUGGACAAUGGGUUAGCGCCUGAUCCAGCCAUCCCGCGUGAAGGACGACGGCCCUAUGGGUUGUAAACUUCUUUUGUACAGGGAUAAACCUACUCUCGUGAGAGUAGCUGAAGGUACUGUACGAAUAAGCACCGGCUAACUCCGUG
rnacentral:rRNA from 1 species